AGAUUCGAACACUGGACCCUUUAAUAUGCGAAUAUCGCGUAUGUAAUUGGUUAGGUUAGCGUAACUUUCCGGGUUAACGGGGCGAAGCGGGAUUUCGUUCGAAGGAAAGCGCGGUUUUCGCGCUGGAGAAAAGUUAACUGGACUCGAAGCGUAUGCAUCUUGGGACCGUUGCCUCGGUUGCAACCAAGCGAAGCUAGGUGAGGUGAGAUAGAACGAACUGUAGCUAGGCGAGGCCAGAUGAAGAGAGGUGAAGACAGUUGGGACAGGGCGGGGCGCGGCGUGGCGGUGAGGUGAGGUGAGGAGAGGCGCGGCGCGAUGAGGCGAGGCGAGGCGAGGUGAGGCGAGGCGAGGCGAGGCGAGGUGGGACGAGACGAGGCGAAGAGCAAAAGCAGGAGCAGGAGCAGAAGCAGGAUCGGCGCGGCGCAGCGAGAACGCGAACGGAUUGCGCUAGAAUACAGGUGAGCGUAUUGCGGCAUGCGGGUACAGUUAAAGGUCAACGCGGCAUCUCUCGUAGCCUAAGGUACUUCGUACAUCUAUCGCCGUCGCAAAGAGCACCGCUUUGUUCUUUAAUAGGUCCCUUUCCUUGGCCCAACUACCGACGAAUCGUGCACCACCGCUGCUGUCUCGACCCCUUACCUCGCGCUUCCUCUCUCCGAAUCUCUGGAAUUCUCUUCGCCGUGCGCUUGCAACCCAUCGCGUCGUCUCCCUUUCGCCCCCUUUUCUUCUUUCCUUUCAAUCGAUACCAUUCAACGCGCCACGCUUCCUCCUUCGUGUCCUCUUUCACGUACGCCCUACCCUUACUUGUCUUUUCUACAUACGAUUCUACAUUUAAUCAUCGAUCGAUUACUUUUUGCCCGAUAGUCGUCGAAACGGAAAGAAAGCAAACGAAUCCGUCGGGUAAAUUGUAAACGUGUAAAUGCCGAUUGGACGACCGAUAAUCAUUCUAUUUAUUCGCAUUCCAAUUACCCGUACUAAUUAACUUGGCGGAACGUGUCCUUUCGCGGCUGACGCGGGAAACGCUAUUUAGACGAGUUUCUCCGAGCCGCGUCUGUUGUCAACAAACAGGUAUGUGCUCGGAACUCGCAGACAAGGAUCCCACGAUCGCUCUUGGUCGCUCGAGUAUUUUACAGCUUUCGCGCAUUCCGGUGAUAGUUCUCGCGAGCUAUGCCGAACGUUCACGAAUUCGGAAUUCGACGUUGAUAAGUGGACCAAAGAAAAAACCAAACAGGAUUGGACGAAAGACGAUAAAAGGCAUUUUGGUAAGGCCGUAUUGAAAGUGGUCGGAGACACGUGGAAUCUCGCCACGGAAUCGAGAAAAUCGUUUGGGGCGGCAAUAGAAGUAAGCAUCGGAAAAUAACGAGCGAGAAGACUCGAUAGCUGAGAAAUACGCCCACGCAUGCCGGUGACUCGUUCUGCCGUAUGGAACACAGCUCGGUCUCGCUAUGGAGACGACCCCAACCGGUCUUAGCCACACGCACGACUCCCAUACAAUAAUCGGUAUUACCACCACGAACGGCAUCCAUUCACGGUAUUGCUCGUUCAUGAGAAUUCCGCGGCGAUUUCUUCGAGACAUCGUGUCCGCCGUCGGCUGUGCCGAAGAGAAAAGGCCCGAACCAGCUUUCCGGUAAUAGCUUUUUUCUCUCGUCGUCUAAUCGUGUCUGUCGCGUGCCGUGUCUUCGUAUCGUAGCAUCUUCGGAAAUACGAGUCUCGUUGCGAGAUUCGUGGCAAUCGAUUUAUCGUUUGGCCCUGCGUUCGCGCGUUUAUCCUUCGAAUGGAGAAUUAAUCGUACCGUUGAAAAUGUGCUGGCGAUCGAGAGGAACGAAAUAGAGCGAUCGAAGGACGAUGACAACGACGAUGACAAGGACGAUACACGUUGCACGCGUGUCGUCAUCUAAUCGACAAGUUAC
rnacentral:misc_RNA from 1 species